ACCCGAGUACGUGGUGAUUUGCGGCCUAUUGCAGCCACGUUAAACAAUUCGCUAAAACGCCAGGAUGACAAUCAC
rnacentral:ncRNA from 2 species